rnacentral:rRNA from 1 species
CAGAGGGUGCAAGCGUUGUUCGGAAUUAUUGGGCGUAAAGCGCGUGUAGGCGGCUUUGCAAGUCGGGUGUGAAAGCCCUCAGCUCAACUGAGGAAGUGCGCCCGAAACUGCAGAGCUUGAGUACCGGAGAGGAUGGCGGAAUUCCCCAAGUAGAGGUGAAAUUCGUAGAUAUGGGGAGGAACACCGGUGGCGAAGGCGGCCAUCUGGACGGUCACUGACGCUGAGACGCGAAAGCGUGGGUAGCAAACAGGAUUAGAUACCCUGGUAGUCCACGCUGUAAACGAUGAGAACUAGGUGUCGUGGGUGUUGACCCCCGCGGUGCCGUAGCUAACGCAUUAAGUUCUCCGCCUGGGAAGUACGGUCGCAAGACUA